rnacentral:rRNA from 1 species
GACGAACGCUGGCGGCGUGCUUAACACAUGCAAGUCGAACGAAGUGGCGAACGGGUGAGUAACGCGUAAUCAACCUGCCCUUCAGAGGGGGACAACAGUUGGCAACGACUGCUAAUACCGCAUACUGAAGGAGGGGAUUGCGUCUGAUUAGCUAGUUGGGGGGGUCACGGACCAACAAGGCGAUUAUCAGUAGCCGGUCUGAGAGGAGGAACGGCCGCAUUGGGACGGAGACACGGACCAGACGCAUACGGGAGGCAGCAGUGGGGAAUCUGUCGCAAUGGAAGAAAGUCGGACGGAGCAACGACGCGUGAGUGAGGACGGCCUUCGGGUUGUAAAGCUCUGUUAAUCGGGACGCGGCACCGGAAUAGAAAGCAACGGCUAACUACGUGCCAGCCGCCGCGGUAAUAC